rfam:Fukomys damarensis contig150618, whole genome shotgun sequence.
GUCUAUGGCCAUACCACCCUGAACAUGCCCUAUCUCAUGUGAUCUUGGAAGCUAAGCAGGGUCGGGCCUGGUUCGUACUUAGAUGGGAGAUUGAAAUCCAGUUUGGCCAGCACC